rnacentral:pre_miRNA from 1 species
AUGUUGGAUCCGCCUGGCUCCCUGCAUGCCGCCUGUGAAUGCUGUGAAGAGACUUACUAGAAUUCAUAGCUGGCGUGGAGGGAGCCAAGCAGACUCUGAA